GACGAACGCUGGCGGCGUGCUUAACACAUGCAAGUCGAACGGAAAGGCCCUGCUUUUGUGGGGUGCUCGAGUGGCGAACGGGUGAGUAACACGUGAGUAACCUGCCCUUGACUUUGGGAUAACUUCAGGAAACUGGGGCUAAUACCGGAUAGGAGCUCCUGCUGCAUGGUGGGGGUUGGAAAGUUUCGGCGGUUGGGGAUGGACUCGCGGCUUAUCAGCUUGUUGGUGGGGUAGUGGCUUACCAAGGCUUUGACGGGUAGCCGGCCUGAGAGGGUGACCGGCCACAUUGGGACUGAGAUACGGCCCAGACUCCUGCGGGAGGCAGCAGUGGGGAAUAUUGCACAAUGGGCGGAAGCCUGAUGCAGCAACGCCGCGUGCGGGAUGACGGCCUUCGGGUUGUAAACCGCUUUCGCCUGUGAUGAAGCGUGAGUGACGGUAAUGGGUAAAGAAGCACCGGCUAACUACGUG
rnacentral:rRNA from 1 species